rnacentral:rRNA from 1 species
UACGUAGGGUGCAAGCGUUGUCCGGAAUUAUUGGGCGUAAAGAGCUCGUAGGCGGUUUGUCGCGUCGAAUGUGAAAACCCGGGGCUCAACCCCGGGCCUGCAUUCGAUACGGGCAGACUAGAGUUCGGUAGGGGAGUCUGGAAUUCCUGGUGUAGCGGUGAAAUGCGCAGAUAUCAGGAGGAACACCGGUGGCGAAGGCGGGUCUCUGGGCCGAAACUGACGCUGAGGAGCGAAAGCGUGGGGAGCGAACAGG